UGGGGAAUUUUGGACAAUGGGGGAAACCCUGAUCCAGCCAUCCCGCGUGUGCGAUGAAGGCCUUCGGGUUGUAAAGCACUUUUGGCAGGAAAGAAACGUCAUGGGUUAAUACCCCGUGAAACUGACGGUACCUGCAGAAUAAGCACCGGCUAACUACGUGCCAGCAGCCGCGGUAAUACGUAGGGUGCAAGCGUUAAUCGGAAUUACUGGGCGUAAAGCGUGCGCAGGCGGUUCGGAAAGAAAGAUGUGAAAUCCCAGAGCUCAACUUUGGAACUGCAUUUGUAACUACCGGGCUAGAGUGUGUCAGAGGGAGGUGGAAUUCCGCGUGUAGCAGUGAAAUGCGUAGAUAUGCGGAGGAACACCGAUGGCGAAGGCAGCCUCCUGGGAUAACACGGACGCUCAUGCACGAAAGCGUGGGGAGCAAACAGG
rnacentral:rRNA from 1 species